rnacentral:lncRNA from 1 species
AUGUUUCUUCCAAAAUUACCUCCAAAAGAUGAUGAUGAAACCUCUAACAGAUCGUUAGAUGAGGAUGAAGUUGAUGAGAUGCCUCACUGUGUAUCACCUGAUAUCAGCGACUUUGAUAUCAGUGAUUUUGACUCCUCUUCUGAUUCAAGUACUCACAUACUGGAAGAUGUUACUGAGAAUAAUAAAUCAUGUGCAAAAAGGAGGAGAGUUUCUUUUGGAGCCCCUCUGAGACCCGAAUUAUUUGAUGAAAAUUUACCUCCCAAUACACCUCUUGCAAAAGGAGAAAGCCCAGAGACGACCAAAACAGCAUCCACAACCUGUGUCCCAAGAAAGUCAAUAAUGAAGGUACAAUAUUUUAGACAAGCAUUUAAUCUGUCUGUAGUUUAAAUUAUGCAUUUCUCUACGAUCCAUACCCUAACUGCAUUUUUAACAAGUAGUGGUAUAUAUUAUCCUAUCUUCAAAAAUGAUUUCCUAUUGAAUAUCUUUUUAAAUGGAGAGAGUUCAGUUAUUUGUUGUUAUGUUGGCUUCUCAUACACUAGCGACUCAAGGUAUUCCAGCCUAUAAGGGGAGCAUCAGGUCUUGCCAUAGUGCCCUGAGUUUCUCUAGGUCUGCUAUGGUUAUUGCAGUGUUUAAAAAAAAGCUGAGACAUAAAAUCUCAUUUAACAUUUCCCAUCAUACAUAGCAUGUGAUUCAGAAAAUAAGCAAAACCUUUUUUUGCCCAUUAUACACUCUGCCUUAAUCAGACCCUAAACUUGCAAGACCUCAGAGCAUCAAAGGGAGGUGACGUGUACACUGUAGGGCCCUCAGACUCUAAACAUGUUCAGCUUCUGCUUUGUGCUGCUGCUAUUAGUUUUAUACUUAGGGGGGGCAAGUCAUAUAGUCCCUAUUUCCUAGGGUCAUUGGGAAAAGAGAAAGUUCUUUGCUACCCUGACAAGUGCUGCUAGGUAAAGAAAUGAAUCCUUUGCCAAACAACACUCCUAACAGUAUGCCCCUGUAGUUAUGGUUGCUGCCACUGGGUGGUGGUAGACAGUAAAUCUGCAGCACUGAGCUCUAGUAGUGAUGGAAAACUCCCUUCAUGCUUUUCGAGCUGAUGGCAGGGGUCCCAUCUACAGCAAACCAGUGAACUUGCCAGCAUUCCUAACAAGUGGCCAGACAGGCUUUGUCUGAGGACCUCAUCUACCUCCAAUUGCCUUGGGGAAGCAAUCCUUUCCAACUUUGGGGUAGCGUAGCUUUUAUUGGUAGGAAGGCAAGGCCUAAACUAACAUUCUCAGGACCAAUGGUGGCUGGCAUCAUUGUUAUACAGAGACAUACAUGUUGCUAUAUCCAUCU